rnacentral:rRNA from 1 species
UACGUAGGGGGCUAGCGUUGUCCGGAAUCAUUGGGCGUAAAGCGCGUGUAGGCGGCCCGAUAAGUCCGCUGUGAAAGUCCAGGGCUCAACCCUGGGAUGCCGGUGGAUACUGUCGGGCUCGAGUCCGGAAGAGGCGAGUGGAAUUCCUGGUGUAGCGGUGAAAUGCGCAGAUAUCAGGAGGAACACCAAUGGCGAAGGCGGCGACCUGGGCCAAUACUGACGCUGAGGUGCGAAAGCGUGGGGAGCAAACAGG